AAGCUACUUUCUCCGUUCCGAAUUACUUGUCGCAAGUAUGGAUGUAUCUAGAUGUAUUUUAGUUUUAGAUACAUCCAUUUCUGCGACGAGUAAUUUGGAACGGAGGGAGUACAAU
rnacentral:pre_miRNA from 1 species